rnacentral:rRNA from 1 species
CAAACAGGAUUAGAUACCCUGGUAGUCCAUGCCGUAAACGAUGAUUACUAGGUGUUGGGGGAUUGACCCCCUCAGUGCCGCAGUUAACACAAUAAGUAAUCCACCUGGGGAGUACGACCGCAAGGUUGAAACUCAAAGGAAUUGACGGGGGCCCGCACAAGCAGUGGAGUAUGUGGUUUAAUUCGACGCAACGCGAAGAACCUUACCAAGUCUUGACAUCCUGCGACGGUGCUGGAAACAGUACUUUCCUUCGGGACGCAGAGACAGGUGGUGCAUGGUUGUCGUCAGCUCGUGUCGUGAGAUGUUGGGUUAAGUCCCGCAACGAGCGCAACCCUUACUGUCAGUUACUACGCAAGAGGACUCUGGCAGGACUGCCGUUGACAAAACGGAGGAAGGUGGGGAUGACGUCAAAUCAUCAUGCCCUUUAUGACCUGGGCUACACACGUACUACAAUGGCGUUAAACAAAGAGAAGCAAGACCGCGAGGUGGAGCAAAACUCAGAAACAACGUCCCAGUUCGGACUGCAGGCUGCAACUCGCCUGCACGAAGUCGGAAUUGCUAGUAAUCGCAGAUCAGCAUGCUGCGGUGAAUACGUUCCCGGGCCUUGUACACACCGCCCGUCACACCAUGAGAGCCGGGGGGACCCGAAGUCGGUAGUCUAACCGCAAGGAGGACGCCGCCGAAGGUAAAACUGGUGAUUGGGGUGAAGUCGUAACAAGGUAGCCGUAGGAGAACCUGCGGCUG